rnacentral:rRNA from 1 species
GGAUCCAGACUUUGAUCCUGGCUCAGGAUGAACGCUAGCUACAGGCUUAACACAUGCAAGUCGAGGGGAAACGACAUCGAAAGCUUGCUUUUGAUGGGCGUCGACCGGCGCACGGGUGAGUAACGCGUAUCCAACCUGCCCACCACUUGGGGAUAACCUUGCGAAAGUAAGACUAAUUCCCAAUGACGUCUCUAGAAGACAUCUGAAAGAGAUUAAAGAUUUAUCGGUGAUGGAUGGGGAUGCGUCUGAUUAGCUUGUUGGCGGGGUAACGGCCCACCAAGGCAACGAUCAGUAGGGGUUCUGAGAGGAAGGUCCCCCACAUUGGAACCGAGACACGGUCCAAACUCCUACGGGAGGCAGCAGUGAGGAAUAUUGGUCAAUGGACGAGAGUCUGAACCAGCCAAGUAGCGUGCAGGAUGACGGCCCUAUGGGUUGUAAACUGCUUUUAUAAGGGAAUAAAGUGAGUCUCGUGAGACUUUUUGCAUGUACCUUAUGAAUAAGGACCGGCUUAUUCCGUGCCAGCAGCCGCGGUAAUACGGAAGGUCCGGGCGUUAUCCGGAUUUAUUGGGCUUAAAGGGAGCGUAGGCCGGAGAUUGAGCGUGUUGUGAAAUGUAGACGCUCAACGUCUGCACUGCAGCGCGAACUGGUUUCCUUGAGUACGCACAAAGUGGGCGGAAUUCGUGGUGUAGCGGUGAAAUGCUUAGAUAUCACGAAGAACUCCGAUUGCGAAGGCAGCCCACUGGGAGCGCAACUGACGCUGAAGCUCGAAAGUGCGGGUAUCGAACAGGAUUAGAUACCCUGGUAGUCCGCACGGUAAACGAUGGAUGCCCGCUGUUGGUCUGAAUAGGUCAGCGGCCAAGCGAAAGCAUUAAGCAUCCCACCUGGGGAGUACGCCGGCAACGGUGAAACUCAAAUGAAUUGACGG